AUGGAGAGCUUCCAGACUGGUGAACAUGUGGAGAUUUGGAGAGAGUGGUGUGCUGAGAGGAUAUGAAGCUCAGCUUAUACCCACAUACCUUGCCCUCUGCAUCUCUUCCAUCAGGCUGUUCCUGAGUUAAGAGAAGACUGACAAUCUAGUGCCAUAAAGCAUAUGGAUAUGUGUCCAUGUGAGAUUGUUAAAGGGAAUGAAAACAUGUCAUAGAGAAAAGAAAGAGAGGAUGUUCAGCCACAGUCGUCUCCCUGCUUCCAGACUCUGAGACUUGAAUGUAUAAUUGCACCCUGUUGUCUGCGGAGUAAUUUUAGCCUCAUUUUGACUCGUUGCACAGCAGGAUGACAAGAGUGCUGGCUGUCAGGCGGGGUCAGAGGUCAGCCAUUACCCCCUGGACCAUGGGCAGCAGCCUUAUCAGGGUUCUCUGGAGGGCUCUUCUCAGCCUUGGGAUGGGUCUGCAGCUGGCUGUGUGUCUCUUUAGAUGACUCUGGAUGAAAACAUGGACUGUUCUCAAGACACAAGUUCCCGGCAUGCAGUUUGGCUCCUUGUUUCUUUACCAAAGAUAUGAGAGCCAUUCCAAAAUGAAAGAAGUUAUGUUCUUG